rnacentral:misc_RNA from 1 species
AAGAUCAUUCAUUGAUUUGUAAUUCAGUUGUUUUAUUUGAUCUUACAAUUAUUCCUUGCGUUCUAUGUCCUGGAAUUGCUUAUGUAUAUAGUAUAUGCAUUUGGAUAUGAUUAUGUAACGUUGGUAUGAUGGACCGUAGCUAGAGAGCCAAUUUUAGAAUUGUUCGGUUAUAAAGAACUAAAGGCAGCAUUGAAGGAUCCCAGUUUCUUGCUUUCCGUAAAAUGAAGAGAAACUUUGUGGUAUUUGGGCAUAUCCGUUGAAAAACUAAU